AAGGCUUUAAGUUAAAUAAACUACUAGCCUUCAAAGCUAUCAAUAAAGUACUUACUCUUUAAGCCUUA
rnacentral:tRNA from 1 species